UACGGGGGGGGCGAGCGUUGUUCGGAAUCACUGGGCGUAAAGGGCGCGUAGGCGGCCCGCACAAGUCUGCGGUGAAAACCUCCGGCUUAACCGGGGGCCGGCCGUGGAAACUGUCGGGCUGGAGGCUGGGAGAGGGCAGCGGAAUUCCCGGUGUAGCGGUGAAAUGCGUAGAUAUCAAGAGGAACACCUGAGGUGAAGACGGGUUGCUGGGCUGACACUGACGCUGAGACGCGAAAGCGUGGGGAGCGAACAGG
rnacentral:rRNA from 1 species